CCUAAGUCAUACUUUAACGACUGCUUUGAUAACAUUAUAAAGGUAUUACUCGGGAUCAAUGGACUUCCUUUGUGAACUACCGUUAUAAAGAAGAAACUCAGAACAUGUGUAAAAGAAAUGCUGAAAAUUGGAA